AACCGAGAUUAACCAUAAAUC
rnacentral:snRNA from 1 species